rnacentral:rRNA from 1 species
UACGUAGGGGGCAAGCGUUAUCCGGAAUUACUGGGUGUAAAGGGAGCGUAGACGGUAAUGUAAGUCUGGAGUGAAAGGCGGGGGCCCAACCCCCGGACUGCUCUGGAAACUAUGUUACUAGAGUGCAGGAGAGGUAAGCGGAAUUCCUAGUGUGGCGGUGAAAUGCGUAGAUAUUAGGAGGAACACCAGUGGCGAAGGCGGCUUACUGGACUGUAACUGACGUUGAGGCUCGAAAGCGUGGGGAGCAAACAGG